UGGGGAAUUUUGGACAAUGGGCGAAAGCCUGAUCCAGCAAUGCCGCGUGUGUGAAGAAGGCCUUCGGGUUGUAAAGCACUUUUGUCCGGAAAGAAAUCCUUGGCUCUAAUACAGUCGGGGGAUGACGGUACCGGAAGAAUAAGCACCGGCUAACUACGUGCCAGCAGCCGCGGUAAUACGUAGGGUGCAAGCGUUAAUCGGAAUUACUGGGCGUAAAGCGUGCGCAGGCGGUUUGCUAAGACCGAUGUGAAAUCCCCGGGCUCAACCUGGGAACUGCAUUGGUGACUGGCAGGCUAGAGUAUGGCAGAGGGGGGUAGAAUUCCACGUGUAGCAGUGAAAUGCGUAGAGAUGUGGAGGAAUACCGAUGGCGAAGGCAGCCCCCUGGGCCAAUACUGACGCUCAUGCACGAAAGCGUGGGGAGCAAAACAGGAUUAGAUACCCUGGUAGUCCACGCCCUAAACGAUGUCAACUAGUUGUUGGGGAUUCAUUUCCUUAGUAACGUAGCCAACGCGUGAAGUUGACCGCCUGGGGAGUACGGUCGCAAGAUUAAAACUC
rnacentral:rRNA from 1 species